UCCGAACUGGUGUAGUGGUUAACAUCGUCCGCUUUCAUUCUCUCUACCUUCCCUCGUGGAAAUCGCGAAAAUGCUUGUUCCGGACAGCCCGGGGUUCGAUUCCCCGGUUCGGAA
rnacentral:tRNA from 1 species